GACAGUGUCAGGCGGGGAGUUUGACUGGGGCGGUACAUCUGUUAAAUAAUAACGCAGGUGUCCUAAGGUUAGCUCAGUGAGGACAGAAACCUCACGUAGAGUAAAAGGGCAAAAGCUAACUUGAUCUACGACCUUCAGUACUGGUAUAGACCGCGAAAGCGUGGCCUAUCGAUCCUUUUGUUGUUCUUAAACGGUUGACAGUUUCAAGCAAGAGGUGUCAGAAAAGUUACCACAGGGAUAACUGGUAGCGCUAAGGCUUAAUGUGGUUGUCGCAAGGCAAUCAAUUAAACAGCAUUAAGCGGUGCAGCGUUACAAACUCUGGUGUUUAGUAGUGUCGAUGUAAUGCAUGGAAAGGGCAACCUAACCAUGUAUUGCUUUCGGCCUAGCGUACAAGUCCCAUUGACUUGGGCUUAUUCUUAAUUGAGAUGUCUACGGGUUUGGGGCAACUUGGAUCCGUUGAUGAGCCAUAGAGGGUGAAAGUCCCUUAAUGCGCAGGUAUUGAUGCUACGAAUCAGAGCAGUGGCGUCUGGUAAAACAGGCGUUGCGGUUUGUUAGAGUCGGGUUGCUUGAGAGUGCAACCUAAAGAGCGAGGUAAACUGCUCGUAAGGCUACUUAAAUACGGCUACGACACCGAUAGCAAACAAGUACCGUGAGGGAAAGUUGCAAAGUACUUUGAAGAGAGAGUUAAACAGGGCGUGAAACCGCUAGCUGGUAAAACCCGUCUUGAAACACGGACCAAGGAGUGUAGGAGGGUUGUGUUGGUAGCGUUGAAGGCUAUGAGGGAGUGAUCCUGGCUGGAGCUGCCAAUAGUACAGAUCUUGGUGGUAGUAGCAAAUACUCAAGUGAGACCCUUGAGGGCCAAUGUGGAGAAGGGUUCCAUGCUAACAGCAAUUGGACAUGGGUCAGUCGGUGAAUUAGGUUAAUAUUCCUAAACCAAGAUGGGGAGAUGGCACGGACCACGGGAAUCCGACUGUCUAAUUAAAACAAAGCAUUGCGAUGGCCUAAGAUUGUGGUGUUGACGCAAUGUGAUUUCUGCCCAGUGCUAUGAAUGUCACAGUGAAGAAAUUCAUCUAAGCGCUAGUAAACGGCGGGAGUAACUAUGACUCUCUUGUGGUAGCCAAAUGCCUCGUCAUCUAAUUAGUGACGCGCAUGAAUGGAUUAACGAGAUUCCCACUGUCCCUAUCUACUACCUAGCGAAACCACAGCCAAGGGAACGGGCUUGGCAAAAUCAGCGGGGAAAGAAGACCCUGUUGAGCUUGACUCUAGUCUGGCUUUACGCGGAGUAUGUACGUGGGUAAACUUUUUCGGUUUACUUGCGUAUAUGCGUUGCGAGUGGAGCCACGAAGUCGUUUCGUAGAAUACGGGGCGCAAAUUCAGUUGAGGUCCGUAAAAAAGGCCUUAGCGUAUUUUUGCUUGUCUCGCUAAUGUAAGCGUACACUGCAACCAAUUAGACGGCCAAACGUGGAAUCAGCUUCACACAGUGACAGUAAAAUGUUGCUUGUGAGCGCAAAAAUUUGUGUAUGUACUGUAGGUAGCCUGGUUGAGGUCUCGUUAUCUCAUUCGGGUGUCUGACGUGUGCAUGCGUGAACUACGAUUGGGUACUGAUUGGCAAAAGGAAAAUCGAAUCGCAAGAUUCGUGUAUUCAUAGAAAGCGGCUUACAUCGUAACUGGGUACAAUUGUGCGCUACCAGUAUAAGCUUAAUAUUUUUGAAUUCAGGCACGUAUAUUGUCUUCGAGCUUGCUCGUUGAUAUAUGCGCUGUUUUCUGUCUAAUCGGGUAUUAACUUUGCUGAUAGUUUUAGUGCAGUUGCUACGAUAGCACUGGAUGCGAUAGUAAGUUUGCAAGUAUUGGCAGUGAGUAGGUCGGCUUUCCACACGCGUUGAAUUAUCGUUCGUACACACACAUGCGAUUAGUUAUGAUUCAACGCCUAAGAGAAUGGCGAAAGCUAUUUCUGAAUCAAAGGCAGUGUAAUCAAAACACAACUUACUAAGAAAGAAACCAAUAAAAACGCCAUGCACAUACACAUACACACAAUUGAAACAAAAUAAAAACGUAAAACAAUGCAAUAUAAGCUAAACACAGACAUAUUAUUAUUCGCGUAAAAACGGAAAAUAAAAAUAAAAUUUGUGUUAUAAAAAAGCGAGCUUGUUAUACGAAAUUUAUACGAAUGUGUGUGUGUGUGUGUGUCUGUGUACGUACAAUACGGUUUUUUUCAAGUGUACAAUGAACACUGUAUGACUCGAAAGGUGCUAUUUGUGCGGCUAUUCACUUAGCUGUGCAACUAGCAUUGGCGGUAACGCAAACAAGGCUCUGAGGAUCGAGUUGGUCGGGCUGUAUGUGAGAUACUUUCAUGGGUUUGUAUCUAUGCUGGACCUUUGUUCGGUGCAAAUGUGUGUGUGUGUUGUGUGCUUUUAACCGAGUAUCUCUCACUAUCGCUUUGUAGCAAGUCAUUGGAUCGGCAUGGAUCGCUCGUUUGUUGAUCGCUACAGCUACGCUGGUAGUGUUUCGUAUGGCAUUUCGGUGCUUUUGCGAGCAUUAUCAAUAAAAGGCGUCAUCGGCUAACAACUAACGAUCGAAUCAGAACUCAAGCUCUCGCAGAAAUGUGAAUCAGUUUCAUCUGGUAAAGCGAAUGAUUAGAGGCCUUGGGAGCGAAACGCUCUCAACCUAUUCUCAAACUUUAAAUGGGUGAGAUGUACGACGUACUUAACUGACGCCGUAUUCAUAGAGAAUGUAUUGAGAGCUUAGUGGGCCAUUUUUGGUAAGCAGAACUGGCGAUGCGGGAUGAACCGAAAGUGAAGUUAAGGUUGCCGAUAAUGGUGCUUACAAUUAUGCACUAGCUACACUCAUGAGAUCCCAUGAAAGGUGUAAGUUGCUAAAGACAGCAAGGACGUGGCCAUGGAAGUCGGAAACAUCUAAGGAGUGUGUAACAACUCACUUGCCGAAGCAACUUGCCCUGAAAAUGGAAGCAGCUCGAGUGUUGAACCUAUACUUCACUCUAGUUAAGUAUCGAGUCGAUCGGUCUUGAUUAGGCCAGACAUCGAGAGUGAGCGUCGUAAAAAAGCGUUCAAUUUAGUCUCGGAAUAAACUAUAAAUGACGGCAAAGUGAAAUCAAAUCAUAUGUGAUCUGAGGUCUACAAAAACGGCCUACAGCGCAACAUAUGCCCACUCGUAUGGUUAUACGCGCAAGUGUUAACCGGGUGGAGCAAAGAGAUACUUGACUGGUAUUCUCUCACUUGGCCGUACCCAUAUCCGCAGCAGGUCUCCAAGGUUAACAGCCUCUGGUCACUUAGGAUAAUGUAGGUAAGGGAAGUCGGCAAAACGGAUCCGUAACUUCGGGAUAAGGAUUGUGAAGAGACAUGAGAGGUGUAGCAUAGGUGGGAGAUAUACAUCGGGCAACUGGUGUGUAUCGCAAGUGAAAUACCACUACUUUCAUUGUUUCUUUACUGA
rnacentral:rRNA from 1 species